UAAUAAGUGUUUUAUGGCACUUUUUAAAUCCAUAUCCACCUUGUGUGCAAUGUCAGUCGGUUUUCUUUUUCGUCAAGAAAAAAAGGAUCGACCAAACAUCAACCUUAUUUAAUUGAACUCUUUGUCUGAAAAAUAUUAUGAAUAAACUAAUUCAAAAUA
rnacentral:misc_RNA from 1 species